rnacentral:rRNA from 1 species
GUUGUAUGGUUAAGCGACCAAGCGUAUACGGUGGAUGCCUUGGCAGUCAGAGGCGAUGAAGGACGUAGUAACUUGCGAAAAGCGUUGGUGAGCUAGUAACAAGCAUUUGAGCCAGCGAUGUCCGAAUGGGGAAACCCGGCAGCAUAAGCUGUCAUCAAUACGUGAAUACAUAGCGUAUUGAGGCGAACGAGGGGAACUGAAACAUCUAAGUACCCUUAGGAAAAGAAAUCAACCGAGAUUCCCCAAGUAGCGGCGAGCGAACGGGGAUUAGCCCUUAAGUCUUUGGGGUGUUAGUGGAAUGUGUUGGAAAGCACAGCGGCACAGGGUGAUAGCCCCGUACACGUAAACUAACCAGAGAUGAAAUCGAGUAAGGCGGCACACGUGAUAUGUUGUCUGAAUAUGGGGGGACCAUCCUCCAAGGCUAAAUACUCCUGACUGACCGAUAGUGAACCAGUACCGUGAGGGAAAGGCGAAAAGAACCCCUGUGAGGGGAGUGAAAUAGAACCUGAAACCGUAUACGUACAAGCAGUGGAAGCGGUCCUUGAGACCGUGACUGCGUACCUUUUGUAUAAUGGGUCAGCGACUUACAUUUAGUAGCGAGGUUAAGCGAAUAGCGGAGCCGUAGGGAAACCGAGUGUUAACUGCGCGUUUAGUUGCUAGGUGUAGACCCGAAACCCGGUGAUCUAGCCAUGGGCAGGUUGAAGGUUGAGUAACAUCAACUGGAGGACCGAACCGACUAAUGUUGAAAAAUUAGCGGAUGACUUGUGGCUGGGGUGAAAGGCCAAUCAAACCGGGAGAUAUCUGGUUCUCCUCGAAAGCUAUUUAGGUAGCGCCUCGGACGAACACCUUUGGGGGUAGAGCACUGUUAAGGCUAGGGGGUCAUCCCGACUUACCAACCCUUUGCAAACUCCGAAUACCAAAGAGUGCUAUCCGGGAGACAGACGGCGGGUGCUAACGUCCGUCGUCAAAAGGGAAACAACCCAGACCGUCAGCUAAGGUCCCAAAGUAAUUGCUAAGUGGGAAACGAUGUGGGAAGGCUUAGACAGCUAGGAUGUUGGCUUAGAAGCAGCCAUCAUUUAAAGAAAGCGUAAUAGCUCACUAGUCGAGUCGGCCUGCGCGGAAGAUGUAACGGGGCUAAGCAAUUCACCGAAGCUACGGGUACUGAUGCUUGCAUCAGUGCGGUAGAGGAGCGUUCUGUAAGCCGUUGAAGGCGAAGGGGUAACCCACGCUGGAGGUAUCAGAAGUGCGAAUGCUGACAUGAGUAACGAUAAAGGGGGUGAAAAACCCCCUCGCCGAAAGACCAAGGGUUCCUGUCCAACGUUAAUCGGGGCAGGGUGAGUCGACCCCUAAGGCGAGGCUGAAAGGCGUAGUCGAUGGGAAACGGGUUAAUAUUCCCGUACUUCUGCUAACUGCGAUGGAGAGACGGAGAAGGCUAGGCCGGCGCGGCGUUGGUAGUCCGCGUUUAAGGUAGUAGGUGGUGUGCUUAGGCAAAUCCGGGCACACAUACACUGAGAGCUGACGACGAGUCCCCAAGGGGAUGAAGUGGUUGAUGCCAUGCUUCCAGGAAAAUCUUCUAAGCUUCAGGUUAGUAGAAAUCGUACCCCAAACCGACACAGGUGGUCGGGUAGAGAAUACCAAGGCGCUUGAGAGAACUCGGCUGAAGGAACUAGGCAAAAUGGUACCGUAACUUCGGGAGAAGGUACGCUCCUGUUGGUGACGAGACUUGCUCUCUGAGCUGACGGGAGUCGCAGAUACCAGGUGGCUGCAACUGUUUAUCAAAAACACAGCACUGUGCAAAAUCGCAAGAUGACGUAUACGGUGUGACGCCUGCCCGGUGCCGGAAGGUUAAUUGAUUGGGUUAUCUUCGGAGAAGCUCAUGAUCGAAGCCCCGGUAAACGGCGGCCGUAACUAUAACGGUCCUAAGGUAGCGAAAUUCCUUGUCGGGUAAGUUCCGACCUGCACGAAUGGCGUAAUGAUGGCCACGCUGUCUCCAGCCGAGACUCAGUGAAGUUGAAAUUGCGGUGAAGAUGCCGUAUACCCGCGGCUAGACGGAAAGACCCCGUGAACCUUUACUAUAGCUUGGCACUGAACAUUGACCCUACAUGUGUAGGAUAGGUGGGAGACUAUGAAGAUGAGACGCCAGUCUUGUUGGAGUCAACCUUGAAAUACCACCCUUGUAGUGUUGAUGUUCUAACCUGGGCCCCUAAUCGGGGUUAGGGACAGUGCCUGGUGGGUAGUUUGACUGGGGCGGUCUCCUCCCAAAGAGUAACGGAGGAGCACGAAGGUUGGCUAAGUACGGUCGGACAUCGUACGGUUAGUGUAAUGGCAUAAGCCAGCUUAACUGCGAGACAGACACGUCGAGCAGGUGCGAAAGCAGGUCAUAGUGAUCCGGUGGUUCUGAAUGGAAGGGCCAUCGCUCAACGGAUAAAAGGUACUCCGGGGAUAACAGGCUGAUACCGCCCAAGAGUUCAUAUCGACGGCGGUGUUUGGCACCUCGAUGUCGGCUCAUCACAUCCUGGGGCUGAAGUCGGUCCCAAGGGUAUGGCUGUUCGCCAUUUAAAGUGGUACGCGAGCUGGGUUCAGAACGUCGUGAGACAGUUCGGUCCCUAUCUGCCGUGGGCGUUGGAUGAUUGAGGGGAGCUGCUCCUAGUACGAGAGGACCGGAGUGGACGAACCGCUGGUGUUCGGGUUGUCAUGCCAAUGGCAUUGCCCGGUAGCUACGUUCGGAAUCGAUAACCGCUGAAAGCAUCUAAGCGGGAAGCGAGCCCCAAGAUGAGUCAUCCCUAGGGCCUAGAGCCCUCUGAAGAGCCGUUCGAGACCAGGACGUUGAUAGGCAGGGUGUGUAAGCGUUGCGAGGCGUUGAGCUAACCUGUACUAAUGACUCGAGAGGCUUAACCAUACAACCCAGAUGGGUUUU